rnacentral:rRNA from 1 species
AUUGAACGCUGGCGGCAGGCCUAACACAUGCAAGUCGAGCGAGCGGCGGACGGGUGAGUAAUGUAUGGGGACUGCCCGAUAGAGGGGGAUAACUACUGGAAACGGUGGCUAAUACCGCAUACUAUCGGAUAACCCAUAUGGGAUUAGCUAGUAGGGGGGGUAAAGGCUCACCUAGGCGACGAUCUCUAGCUGGUCUGAGAGGAUGAUGAGCCAGACGGGGACGUAGACACGGCCCAGACUCCUACGGAGGCAGCAGUGGGGAAUAUUGCGCAAUGGGCGCAAGCCUGAUGCAGCCAUGGCGAGUGUAUGAAGAAGGCCUUCGGGUUGUAAAGUACUUUCAGCGAGGAGGCGUUACUCGAAGAAGAAGCACCGGCUAACUCCGUGCCAGCAGCCGCGGUAAUUC